GUGAAUCAUCAAAUCUUUGAACGCAAAUUGCAAUCUCUGGCAUUCCGGAGAGUAUGCCUGUUUGAGGGUCAGUAUAAUCAAAAUCGGAGCGGUGCCUUUUGGGUGACGCACCGGAGAUUGGGUCAUCUAUACUCUUUUUUUUUAGAGACCUAAGAUUAACAUUCUUUUUUGCUGAAUUUUGAUACGUACAUAUUUUUUUUUUUAUUGGUUGAGACUGGUGGU
rnacentral:misc_RNA from 1 species